rnacentral:rRNA from 1 species
CACGUAGGGUGCGAGCGUUGUCCGGAAUUAUUGGGCGUAAAGAGCUCGUAGGCGGUGUGUCGCGUCGGCCGUGAAAACCUGCAGCUUAACUGUGGGCUUGCGGUCGAUACGGGCAUCACUGGAGUUCGGCAGGGGAGACUGGAAUUCCUGGUGUAGCGGUGGAAUGCGCAGAUAUCAGGAGGAACACCAAUAGCGAAGGCAGCUCGCUGGGACGUUACUGACACUGAGGCGCGAAAGCGUGGGGGAGCGAACAGGG